rnacentral:lncRNA from 1 species
AGAAUUCUUCGUGAGGGAAAGGAAUGCCGGAGACUAUGAACCCAAAGGAAAACAUCACGACCUUCAAAAGUAGUAGAAGGCAUCCAAGAUGUAUCCAAAAUUGAGCCAAAAAAAGAGUUUUCAGGUUUGAAGUUGUUUCCUUUGGUAUUGUUUAUCGUUGUAAUUUAUAAUUGAAUAUUUUGAAUUUGUUGUUUUAGUAAACCAAAUAUUUCAUCAUUUGCUGUUUUCAGUUCAUUUUUUACAAUACUUGCACCAAUGCGAAUCAGUGACCUGA